AGCCGAUUAGGGAAUUAGAAUUUAGAAAGGGAGAAAGACAGAACGUCAGAAACGACGAUAGUUUCUUUCAGCGAGAAGACCUUUGCUAUAUCCUGUUGAUGAAGCUGCCACUGUGGCUAUAUCUACUGUCAAAGAAUUUGGCAGUGACCUCAAAGAGAUCCAGGUGUGUACGGUUCUGGCGGUCGCUGAGUUCGUGCGUGUGCUGAUUAUCGGAGACUUACGAGGUAGCUGCCGGCGUCCGCAAUCCUUGUUUCUCCUUUCUUAUUAUCUUUUCUCUCUUGUAUUGGCAUUUGGCACAGACUGUAGUAGACUCUGUUUCUAUAUUGGUUAUUAGAUACACAUGACUUAGGGAUACCUCGAUGUCGGGCUAUCAUUCCGCACUUAUGUUUUGGGGGUUUUCCCGGUUAUUGUGUAAACCUUCAGUUAGUUUAAUUUCUUUAGCUCACUUCUGUUAUA